UGCCGAGUAGCACAAUUGGUAGUGCACCUGACUCUGGAUCAGGGGGUUCUAGGUUCGAAUCCUAGCUCGGCAG
rnacentral:tRNA from 2 species